rnacentral:lncRNA from 1 species
AAAUAUGUACCAAAUGUGUCUAGAUUCAAGAGUGAGAUUUUCUGCUAACCACCAUAAAUAUAAAUUCUUGGUACUUCAUGGGUCUAAAUCAUGACUACUAUGUUCUGAGCCCUUGGAAAACUGUUCGUCGUGAAAGGGAUCAUCAGCACAAUGUACAGAACUCCACCUAGGAGAGAAAUUCCAGCCCAUCUGUUCCAGCUCAUGGCCAGUUGCUCUCAUGCUA